rnacentral:rRNA from 1 species
AACGUAGGAUCCGAGCGUUAUCCGAAUUCACUGGGCGUAAAGCGCUUGUAGGCGGCCUGAUAAGUUGGAUGUAAAAUCUUCUGGCUCAACUGGGAGAAGCCGUUCAAGACUGUUAGGCUAGAGGACGAUAGAGGGAGGUGGAAUUUCCGGUGUAGUGGUGAAAUGCGUAGAUAUCGGAAGGAACACCAGUGGCGAAGGCGACCUCCUGGAUCGUAUCUGACGCUCAGAAGCGAAAGCUAGGGGAGCGAACGGG